GAUGAAGAACGCAGCGAAAUGCGAUAAGUAAUGUGAAUUGCAGAAUUCCGUGAAUCAUCGAAUCUUUGAACGCACAUUGCGCCCCCUGGUAUUCCGGGGGGCAUGCCUGUCCGAGCGUCAUUGCUGCCCUCAAGCACGGCUUGUGUGUUGGGCCCCGUCCUCCGAUCCCGGGGGACGGGCCCGAAAGGCAGCGGCGGCACCGCGUCCGGUCCUCGAGCGUAUGGGGCUUUGUCACCCGCUCUGUAGGCCCGGCCGGCGCUUGCCGAUCAACCCAAAUUUUUAUCCAGGUUGACCUCGGAUCAGGUAGGGAUACCCGCUGAACUUAAGCAUAUCAAAAGCGGAGGA
rnacentral:misc_RNA from 1 species